rnacentral:lncRNA from 1 species
ACAAAUUGGCAAAGAAGAAGUCAAGGUAUCACUAUUUGCAGAUGGUAUAAUAGUGUACAUAAGUGACCCCCAAAGUUCUACCAGAGAAUUACUCCAGCUGAUGAACAACUUCAGCAAAGUGGCUGGAUAUAAAAUUAACUCAAACAAAUCAGUAGCCUUCCUCUAUACAAAUGAUAAAUGGGCUGAGAAAGAAAAUAGGGAAACAACACCCUUCACAAUAGUCACAAAUAAUAUAAAACAUCUUGGGUAACUCUAACCAAACAAUUUAAAGAUCUGUAUGACAAGAACUUCAAGUCUCUGAAGAAAGAAAUCGAAGAAGACCUCAGAAGAUGGAAAGAUUUCCCAUGCACAUGGAUUGGCAGGAUUAACAUAGUAAAAAUGGCCAUCUUACCAAAAGCAAUCUACAGAUUGAAUGCAAUCCCCAUCAAAAUUCUAACACAAUUCUUCAAAGACAAGGAAAGACCAAUUCUCAAUUUCAUAUGGAAAAAACAAAAAAACCCAGGAUAGCAAAAACAAUUCUUAACAAUAAAAGAACUUCAGGGGGAAUCACCAUCCCUGACCUCAAGCUAUACUACAGAGCAAUAGUGACAAAAACCAGCAUGGUGUUGGUAUAAAGACAGGCAGGUUGAUCAGUGGAAUAGAAUUGAAGAACCAGAAAUUAAUCCAUACACAUAUGGAGAGUUGAUCUUUGACAAAGAGGCCAAAACCAUGGAUAAAGGAAACCAUCUUUCAACAAAUGGUGCUAGUCUAACUGGAAGUCGGUAUGUAGAAAAAUGAAAAUAAAUCCAUGUGUCACCUUGCAUAAAGCUCAAGUCCAAGUAGAUCAAGAACCUUGACAUAAAACCAGAUACAUUGAAUCUAAUAAAGAGAAAGUGGGAAAGAGCUUCAAACUCAUGGGCACAUGGGCAGGGUAUUUCCUAAACAGAACUCCAAUGACUCAGGCUCUAAGAUCAAGAAUUGAUAAAUGGGACCUCAUGAAACUGAAAACCUUCUAUAAGGCAAAGGACACAGUCAAUAGGACAAGUUAGCACCCUACAUAUUGGGGGUAAAAACUUCACUAACCCCACAUCUGAUAGAGGGCAAAUAUCAAAUAUCCAAAAUAUAUUUAAAUAUCUAAAAGAACUCAAGAAGCUAACCUCCAAAAAAAAAAAAAACAAAAAAAAAAAAACAAAAAAACAACUCAAUCAAACAUUGGCUACAGAGCUAAACAGAAAAGUCACAACAGAGGAAACUUGAAUGACCAAGAGAGCACUUAAAGAAAUGUUCAAAGUCCUUAGUGAUCAGGGAAAUGCAAAUCGGAACAACCCUGAGAUGGUAACCUUACACCAAUCAGAAUGACUAAGAUCAAAAACUCAGGUGACAGCACUUGUUGGUGAGAAUGUGAAGAAAGAGGAACACUCCUCCAUUGCUGGUGGGAGUGCAAACUUGUACAACCACUUUGGAAGUCAAUCUGGAGGUUCCUUAGAAAAUUGGAAAUUGAUCUACCUGAAGACCCAGCUAUACCAUUCUUGGGAAUAUACCCAAAAGAUGUCCCACCAUGGGCAUCAUGCUCCACUAUGUUCAUAGUGGCCUUAUUUGUGAUAGUCAGUGAAAGGAAAAAGUUUAAAAUUGCCCCCUAGAUAAAAGUUGAAGCCAAAAGCAGGCCCUGCAACUGCCUGUUCCAGGAACUAGCUGAUCACAGAAAGAGUAAUUGCACCAGCUGGUCCAGCCACUUUGUUCCAGAAACUAGCUAACCAUAAUAGCAGCUGACCAUAAUACCAGCUGACCAUAGUAGCAGGAACUGGUUAACCAUAAAGUUAGAUUAAAAUCUUAAAGAACAAUCAUGAGAAACAGGAGGUUCUUCCUUGUGAUUCGGCAUGGUUUUUCCUUUAAAUACCCCUUCUUCCAGCCAUUCGGGGUCUAACUCUUCUACCCCUGUGUGGGGUAUGAGUCUUGACCCCAGUGCACUGGUUUCUGUCGUCCCUAUCAAUAAACCUCUUGUUGAUUGCAUC